GCCCGCUGGGCCAGACGGUACGGCGUCGCACUAGUAUAGUUACCGGCUAUCUGGGUAUGCGGAAAUAACUGGUUCGACUCCAGUAGUGGGCA